rnacentral:rRNA from 1 species
GACGAACGCUGGCGGCGUGCUUAACACAUGCAAGUCGAACGGUAAGGCCCUUCGGGGUACACGAGUGGCGAACGGGUGAGUAACACGUGGGUGAUCUGCCCUGCACUUCGGGAUAAGCCUGGGAAACUGGGUCUAAUACCGGAUACGACGCCUGGCUUCAUGGUUGGGGGUGGAAAGCUUUUGCGGUGUGGGAUGGGCCCGCGGCCUAUCAGCUUGUUGGUGGGGUAAUGGCCUACCAAGGCGACGACGGGUAGCCGGCCUGAGAGGGUGACCGGUCACACUGGGACUGAGAUACGGCCCAGACUCCUACGGGAGGCAGCAGUGGGGAAUAUUGCACAAUGGGCGCAAGCCUGAUGCAGCGACGCCGCGUGAGGGAUGACGGCCUACGUGUUGUAAACCUCUUUCAGCUAUGACGAAGCGCAAGUGACGGUAGUAGCAGAAGAAGGACCGGCCAACUACGUGCCAGCCGCCGCGGUAA